GACGAACGCUGGCGGCGUGCUUAACACAUGCAAGUCGAACGGAAAGGCCCUGCUUUUGUGGGGUGCUCGAGUGGCGAACGGGUGAGUAACACGUGAGUAACCUGCCCUUGACUUUGGGAUAACUUCAGGAAACUGGGGCUAAUACCGGAUAGGAGCUCCUGCUGCAUGUUGGGGGUUGGAAAGUUUCGGCGGUUGGGGAUGGACUCGCGGCUUAUCAGCUUGUUGGUGGGGUAGUGGCUUACCAAGGCUUUGACGGGUAGCCGGCCUGAGAGGGUGACCGGCCACAUGGGGACUGAGAUACGGCCCAGACUCCUACGGGAGGCAGCAGUGGGGAAUAUUGCACAAUGGGCGGAAGCCUGAUGCAGCAACGCCGCGUGCGGGAUGACGGCCUUCGGGUUGUAAACCGCUUUCGCCUGUGACGAAGCGUGAGUGACGGUAAUGGGUAAAGAAGCACCGGCUAACUACGUG
rnacentral:rRNA from 1 species